CGAAACUCCGUGCCAGAAGCUGGGUGAAAGCGGGGAGGUCGAACGUUGUGGUGAAGGACUGUGCGGAAAUCGGACGUAGGCGGAUCGGACAGACAGAGGUGAAAUCCCGGGGGUCAACCCCGGAACGGCCUUGGAAACUAUCGGUCUGGAGUUCGAGAGAGGUGAGUGGAAGUCCGGGUGUAGAGGUGAAAUUCGGAUAUAUUCGGAGGAACACCAGUGGCGAAGGCGGCUCACUGGCUCGAUACUGACGCUGAGGUGCGAAAGCGUGGGGAGCAAACAGGAUUAGAUACCCGAGUAGUC
rnacentral:rRNA from 1 species